rnacentral:rRNA from 1 species
CCUACAGGAGGCAGCAGUGGGGAAUCUUGCGCAAUGGGGGAACCCUGACGCAGCAACGCCGCGUGGGUGAUGAAGGCCUUCGGGUCGUAAAGCCCUGUCAGGUGGGAAGAAACUUGUGGAUGUUAAUACCAUCCGCACUUGACGGUACCACCGGAGGAAGCACCGGCUAACUCCGUGCCAGCAGCCGCGGUAAUACGGAGGGUGCAAGCGUUGUUCGGAAUUACUGGGCGUAAAGCGCGUGUAGGCGGUUGGGCAAGUCAGAUGUGAAAGCCUUCUGCUUAACAGAAGAAGUGCAUUUGAAACUACCCGGCUAGAGUACGGGAGAGGAGAGUGGAAUUCCCGGUGUAGAGGUGAAAUUCGUAGAUAUCGGGAGGAACACCAGUGGCGAAGGCGGCUCUCUGGUCCGAUACUGACGCUGAGACGCGAAAGCGUGGGGAGCAAACAGGAUUAGAUACCCUGGUAGUCCACGCCCUAAACGAUGGGCACUAGGUGUAGGAGGUAUUGACCCCUUCUGUGCCGAAGCUAACGCAUUAAGUGCCCCGCCUGGGGAGUACGGCCGCAAGGCUAAAACUCAAAGGAAUUGACGG